GACGAACGCUGGCGGCGUGCCUAAUACAUGCAAGUAGAACGCUGAAGAGAGGAGCUUGCUCUUCUUGGAUGAGUUGCGAACGGGUGAGUAACGCGUAGGUAACCUGCCUUGUAGCGGGGGAUAACUAUUGGAAACGAUAGCUAAUACCGCAUAACAAUGGAUGACACAUGUCAUUUAUUUGAAAGGGGCAAUUGCUCCACUACAAGAUGGACCUGCGUUGUAUUAGCUAGUAGGUGAGGUAAUGGCUCACCUAGGCGACGAUACAUAGCCGACCUGAGAGGGUGGUCGGCCAAACUGGGACUGAGACACGGCCCAGACUCCUACGGGAGGCAGCAGUAGGGAAUCUUCGGCAAUGGGGGCAACCCUGGACGAGCAACGCCGCGUGAGUGAAGAAGGUUUUCGGAUCGUAAAGCUCUGUUGUAAGUCAAGAACGGGUGUGAGAGUGGAAAGUUCACACUGUGACGGUAGCUUACCAGAAAGGGACGGCUAACUACGUG
rnacentral:rRNA from 1 species